rnacentral:tRNA from 1 species
AGUAAGAUGCCUGAUUAAAGGAUUACUUUGAUAGAGUAAAUAAUGUAUUUAAUACUCUUACUA